rnacentral:rRNA from 1 species
AGAGUUUGAUCAUGGCUCAGAUUGAUCGCUGGCGGCAGGCCUAACACAUGCAAGUCGAACGGUAACAGAAAGCAGCUUGCCGCUUUGCUGACGAGUGGCGGACGGGUGAGUAAUGUCUGGGAAACUGCCCGAUGGAGGGGGAUAACUACUGGAAACGGUAGCUAAUACCGCAUAACGUCGCAAGACCAAGGAGGGGGACCUUCGGGCCUCUUGCCAUCGGAUGUGCCCAGAUGGGAUUAGCUAGUAGGUGGGGUAAAGGCUCACCUAGGCGACGAUCCCUAGCUGGUCUGAGAGGAUGACCAGCCACACUGGAACUGAGACACGGUCCAGACUCCUACGGGAGGCAGCAGUGGGGAAUAUUGCACAAUGGGCGCAAGCCUGAUGCAGCCAUGCCGCGUGUAUGAAGAAGGCCUUCGGGUUGUAAAGUACUUUCAGCGGGGAGGAAGGGAGUAAAGUUAAUACCUUUGCUCAUUGACGUUACCCGCAGAAGAAGCACCGGCUAACUCCGUGCCAGCAGCCGCGGUAUACGGAGGGUGCAAGCGUUAAUCGGAAUUACUGGGCGUAAAGCGCACGCAGGCGGUUUGUUAAGUCAGAUGUGAAAUCCCCGGGCUCAACCUGGGAACUGCAUCUGAUACUGGCAAGCUUGAGCCUCGUAGAGGGGGGUAGAAUUCCAGGUGUAGCGGUGAAAUGCGUAGAGAUCUGGAGGAAUACCGGUGGCGAAGGCGGCCCCCUGGACGAAGACUGACGCUCAGGUGCGAAAGCGUGGGGAGCAAACAGGAUUAGAUACCCUGGUAGUCCAC